AACAGGAUUAGAUACCCUGGUAGUCCAUGCCGUAAACGAUGAGUGCUAGGUGUUGGAGGGUUUCCGCCCUUCAGUGCCGGAGCUAACGCAUUAAGCACUCCGCCUGGGGAGUACGACCGCAAGGUUGAAACUCAAAGGAAUUGACGGGGGCCCGCACAAGCGGUGGAGCAUGUGGUUUAAUUCGAAGCUACGCGAAGAACCUUACCAGGUCUUGACAUCUUGCGCCAACCCUAGAGAUAGGGCGUUUCCUUCGGGAACGCAAUGACAGGUGGUGCAUGGUCGUCGUCAGCUCGUGUCGUGAGAUGUUGGGUUAAGUCCCGCAACGAGCGCAACCCUUGUUACUAGUUGCCAGCAUUAAGUUGGGCACUCUAGUGAGACUGCCGGUGACAAACCGGAGGAAGGUGGGGACGACGUCAGAUCAUCAUGCCCCUUAUGACCUGGGCUGCACACGUGCUACAAUGGACGGUACAACGAGUCGCGAACUCGCGAGGGCAAGCAAAUCUCUUAAAACCGUUCUCAGUUCGGACUGCAGGCUGCAACUCGCCUGCACGAAGUCGGAAUCGCUAGUAAUCGCGGAUCAGCAUGCCGCGGUGAAUACGUUCCCGGGCCUUGUACACACCGCCCGUCACACCAUGAGAGUUUGUAACACCCAAAGUCGGUGGGGUAACCUUUUAGGAGCCAGCCGCCUAAGGUGGGACAGAUGAUUAGGGUGAAGUCGUAACAAGGUAACC
rnacentral:rRNA from 1 species